rnacentral:rRNA from 1 species
UAAUACGUAGGUGGCAAGCGUUGUCCGGAUUUACUGGGCGUAAAGGGUAUGUAGGCGGAACGUUAAGUAGAAAGUGAAAGGUUGGGGCUCAACCCCAACACUGCUCUCUAUACUGGCGAUCUUGAGUGCCGGAGAGGAAGAUGGAACUGCACGUGUAGCGGUGAUAUGCGUUGAGAUGUGCAGGAACACCAAUGGCGAAAGCAAUCUUCUGGACGGAUACUGACGCUGAUAUACGAAAGCCAAGGGAGCGAACAGGAUUAGAUACCCUGGUAGUCUUGGCCAUAAACGAUGUUCACUAGGUGUUGGGGGUCUCCCUCGGUGCCGCAGCUAACGCAUUAAGUGAACCGCCUGGGGACUACGGCCGCAAGGUUG